CGCAUCUGUGCAUGCAGCAUAUCAAUAAGCGGAGGAAAAGAAACUAACAAGGAUUCCCUUAGUAACGGCGAGCGAAGCGGGAAGAGCUCAAAUUUGAAAUCUUCAAGGUUUUACCUUGACGAAUUGUAGUUUAAAGAAGUGUUUUCUGUUGAAGUUUUGGUAAAAGUUCUUUGGAAUAGGACAUCAUAGAGGGUGAGAAUCCCGUAUUUGACCAUUAUUUUCAGCUGUGUGAUACACUUUCAAAGAGUCGGAUUGUUUGGGAAUGCAGUCCAAAAUAGGGUGGUAAAUUUCAUCUAAAGCUAAAUAUUGGCGAGAGACCGAUAGCGAACAAGUACCGUGAGGGAAAGAUGAAAAGAACUUUGAAAAGAGAGUUAAACAGUACGUGAAAUUGUCAAAAGGGAAGCGUUUGACACCAGUGUUGUUUUCUCGAAAAUCAAUUAAAAAGAGUUUGAUUUUGUUGUGUAUUGACCUUAACAGCUUGCAUUUCAAUUUUCUUGCUUUUUUUAAUGCACUUUUCGUUUAACAAGUCAGCAUCAGUUUCUUUUGUUGUAAAAAGGUCAUUGGAAGGUGGCUUUCUUUUCGGAGAAAGUGUUUAUAGCCUUUGACUCCUGCAAUCGGAGAGACUGAGGUCUGCAGCGUAGAUCCUUCGGGGUUAGAUACAUUUGUGCUAAGUUACAGCUUUUUAUAGACAACUUGUUGACUAUGAUUAGUCUUGUAGCUUACUCGCUUAUGCUAUUUUACCUACGCUUAGGAUGUUGAACUCUAUCACACACAG
rnacentral:rRNA from 1 species